CCUACGGGGAGCAGCAGUGAGGAAUAUUGGUCAAUGGGCGUAAGCCUGAACCAGCCAAGUAGCGUGCGGGAAGAAUGCCCUAUGGGUUGUAAACCUCUUUUAUGCUGGGGAUAAAGGUGUCCACGUGUGGAUGUUUGCCGGUACCGCCUGAAUAAGGACCGGGUAAUUCGGUUCCAGCAUCCGCGGUAAUCCGGAAGGUCCGGGCGUUAUCCGUAUUUGUUGGGUUUAAAGGGAGCGUAGGCCGGUCUUUAAGCGUGCCGGGAAAUUUUGUGGCUCAACCAUGGGAGUGCGGCGCUAACUGGAGACCUUGAGUGCGAUGAAGGCAGGCGGAAUGCGUGGUGUAGCGGUGAAAUGCUUAGAUAUCACGAAGAACCCCGAGUGCGAAGGCAGCCUGCCGAAGCGUUACUGACGCUGAAGCACGAAAGCGUGGGGAUCGAACAGGAUUAGAUACCCUGGUAGUC
rnacentral:rRNA from 1 species